rnacentral:SRP_RNA from 1 species
GGAAGAACCCAGCGGACGACAUCUAUGUUCAGCGAGUCAGGUUUGGAAAAAAGCAGCUCAAAUAUAUUUAGCGGGUCGCUGUCGUUCUUCCGCC